GAUGAACGCUAGCUACAGGCUUAACACAUGCAAGUCGAGGGACCGGCGCACGGGUGAGUAACACGUAUCCAACCUGCCCUUUACUCUGGGAUAGCCUUACGAAAGAAAGAUUAAUACCCGAUAUAAAGGAUGGUGAUGCGUUCCAUUAGGUGGUUGGUGAGGUAACGGCCAACCAAGACUUCGAUGGAUAGGGGUGCUGAGAGGAAGGUCCACCACAUUGGAAAUGAGGCACGGUCCAAACUCCUACGGGAGGCAGCAGUGAGGAAUAUUGGUCAAUGGGCGUUAGCCUGAACCAGCCAAGUAGCGUGAAGGAUGAAGGCUUAUGAGUCGUAAACUUCUUUUAUAUAAGAAUAUGUAUUAUAUGAAUAAGGAUCGGCUAACUCCGUGCCAGCAGCCGCGGUAAUUC
rnacentral:rRNA from 1 species